UGUUGCAGCAAUUGGGAAGGAUCGUCCUGUAUUAUCUAUCAUGGUUAUUAGCUAGCAAGAGUGAUGCCACAAGUGGAUCUGCCCAGUAAAUUUGUUAAUUACUUCCUUGCAAGAAUGACAGAGUUUUAAAAUCAGAAUGGGGCAAUAAAUGUGUCCACUAUGACAAAGUGAAGACAAAACGAAUGCAUCGAGUUACUAAUGUAGUGGUUUUCAAGGUUGGACAUUGAUAUCAACUAUGAUUAUUUAAUAGAGAAAUUCUGUUCAUAUGAAGCGAAAGAAAAGCAUGCAGUACCUUACAUUGACAGUGAUUAUUAGGCCAUUGUGGUACUUCAAAUUCUGAUAAAGAAUAUAUAUCAUGACCGAGAUUUGGGAUUUGGAGAAUCUCAAUUCUGAUAUGUACAUGCAUCUCCUUUUAUUUUGUCACGCUAUUGAAUGUUCUGAUAUGGGACUACUUACUCUGUAUAUCUCUUAUAUAUAAUAAAAUUGUCUAUAUGUAAA